CACGAAUUUGCGAUUUGGACCAAUCUAGGAUUUCUCCAUUACAUUCUCACCCCUCUUCCAGAAGGGCAAAGCGAAUGGCUCACUCAAUUGCGAAAGCCACUCUUGGCCUCACAUGACCUAACCAAAUCGUACCAAAGGUAUUCUUUUACUGUCAAGUAAUCAUGUAAUUGAACACUUUAUUUUCAUUGUGUUGAUAGUAUUUGUUUUGCUUAAGAUUAAGAUAAUCUUCAGAGUUCAUCUGGAUUUAUGCUGAAAUCAAUGGCUUCCUGGAGUGAGCCGAAUUUUACUAAGAUUUAAUGGGUUUAUCUUUGUUCACGCAAAUGCAGAGUCUCGAGUUUUUCAAUCUUGAUUGAUUCUUUGAAUUAAAGUUUGUAUGUGACGUUUAUAUUAUUAGGUUCCUAAAUGUGCAUUAAUACAGAGGGGGUAUGAUGAUACGGAGUGAUAUUUUUCAAUGUUUCACUAUUUUUUUGUAGAUACAAUCUGAAAGAAGUCGAAUAUUUCAGCUGCGUUCUUCUUUAAAAUUAUUGUCAUUUUUCUUGGAGGUAUUUGUGUCUUGUAUGUUCCAUGUCUAUCCCUUGGUACAAUCUCAAGGACGAAUUAUUUCUGUUUGUAAGCAUCAUUCACCCAUGUGCUCGUGCACAUGACAGAUGCUUGUCAAUGUCUGUGUUUUGUUUAUGUAUUUGCAUACAUAUACUUAUGUAUACUUACAUAUAGGUAUGUGUUUAUAUGCCUGUAAGUGCAGCUUUAUGUGUGUUUAAUUUUGGGGGGAUUAGUGAUUGCACCAUCUCUAAAUUUGACCUGUAUUAUUGAAUGAUUGAAGAUUUCAUUUGCGGCAAAAGAGAUUGAUUUGUUAGAAUGGAAAGGCGACAUACUUGCAGUAGGCACAACAGAGACGGACAUGACCAAGGAUGAGAAUUUAAAGUUCAAGAGUUUAAUCCUGCAAAAGCUAGAUUCUCAAUUAGGUGGUUUGUUGUCUGAAGCAUCAUCAGAGGAGGAUUUUACUGGAAAGGCUGGACAGUCAACUGUUCUUAGGCUGCCCAAUCUUGGAUUGAAAACGGUAUGUCUAAUUAGUCUUGGAUCAGCGACAUCAGCAACUGAUGCAUAUCGCAGUCUUGGUGAGGCUGUUUCUGCAGCAGCUAAGUCUCCUCAGGCAAGUAAUGUUGCCAUCACACUUGCUGCUUCUGGAGAGCUUACUACAGAAUCAAAGCUAAGCUUUGCUUCAGCCAUAGCUACUGGUACUUUUCUUAGAUUACUUCUUUUUCAUUUGACCACAACAUCAGUUUGUUGCUACUUCAUUAAAUUAAUAUUGGGGGAAUGUCUCAAAUGCCAAAGGAGCUGUACUGGGGACUUAUGAAGACAACAGAUUCAAGCAGAGUCGAAGAAACAGGGUCUCAAAUCAGUGGAUAUUCUUGGUCUUGGCACUGGAUGUGAAAUAGAAAAGAAACUCAAAUAUGCAGAAGAGAUUUGUUCUGGGAUAAUUUUUGGAAAAGAGCUAGUAAAUGCACCUGCUAAUGUACUCACCCCUGGUUAGUUAUCUUUCUUAUUGUACUAUUUCUUUUUUUGAUUACUUUACGUUACUAGUGAAAGAGUAAUUAUCGCGGAAAGUUGUUUGGGUAUAAUCAAGGUGGGAUCAUUUUUCCUAUGACCUUUUAAAUUGUACAUUUCUUUAUUGCCUCAGUCUCUUCACGGGGUAAAAUAUGCGUUAUCUUGUUAAUUUGGUUAAUUGGAUAUGUUAGGCAGAAGAGGCCAAAAGGAUUGCUUCUGAGCACGGUGAUGUUCUUUCUGCAACAAUCUUGGAUGUAGAGCAAUGCAAAGAAUUAAAAAUGGGUUCUUAUCUCGGUGUUGCAGCAGCAUCUGCUAAUCCUCCUCAUUUUAUCCACUUAUGUUACAGGCCUCCAUGGGGAGCAGUCAAAACCAAGCUGGCCUUAGUUGGAAAGGGGUUGACGUUUGACAGGUGAAUAAAUAUGUAUUACCAAAUACUUACAUUUUAAGGGAUGCCUUCUGAAAUCUGGUUGAAAUGAAAUAUAUUUAUUUCGUUUCAUGGGGGUCCUCAGUAGUGCAAAAUCUUCUGAAAUUUUCCUCUUUUAUGUUCCUGUGGUGGCUACAAUAUCAAGACAGGACCAGGUUGUUCCAUUGAGCUCAUGAAAUUAGACAUGGGAGGUUCAGUAGCC
rnacentral:lncRNA from 1 species